rnacentral:misc_RNA from 1 species
GAAAUGCGAUAAUUAAUGUGAAUUGCAGAAUUCAGUGAAUCAUCGAGUCUUUGAACGCACAUUGCGCCCCCUGGUAUUCCGGGGGGCAUGCCUGUCCGAGCGUCAUUGCUGCCCUCAAGCACGGCUUGUGUGUUGGGCUUCCGUCCCUGGCAACGGGGACGGGCCCAAAAGGCAGUGGCGGCACCAUGACUGGUCCUCGAGCGUAUGGGGCUUUGUCACCCGCUCCCGUAGGUCCAGCUGGCAGCUAGCCUCGCAACCAAUCUUUUUAACCAGGUUGACCUCGGAUCAGGUAGGGAUACCCGCUGAACUUAAGC